rnacentral:rRNA from 1 species
UUUUUAAUGCCCUAAAAUUAAAUAAAGCCUGCUCCAUGAAAUUAAUAGCCGCAGAAAAUUUACUGUGCUAAGGUAGCAUAAUCACUUGUCUCCUAAUUAGAGCCUAGAAUGAAAGGCUAAACAAUUAAUUUAUUUUUUUAAAUAGUUAUAAUUAACUUAUAAUAAAUAUAAAAAUAUAUUUAUAAAUGUAAAAGACGACAAGACCCUAUCGAACUUAACUUUAGUUAAGCUGGGGAAGCUAAUUAAUAAUUAAUUUAAUUUUUAAAUCAAAAUUAAAACCCAAUAAAUUGAAUUAUAAUCAAGUUACCGUAGGGAUAACAGCGCAAUAUUUCUUCAAAGCUCUUAUAAAAAGAAAAGUUUGCGACCUCGAUGUUGAAUUAAUUUUUCUUAUUAGCGCAAGAGCUAAAAUAAGUGGGUCUGUUCGACCUUUCAUAAAUUACA